AUUAUAGUGUGAUGUAUACUUUAGAGAGUGACCUACAUAACAUUCAUAAUAGAAUCGUAAGCAUUGAAAGUUGUAACUUGGAAAAAAAAGUGUAACACGAAAAAUAUUCUAACGAAAUUACGGUUAUGACUCAUUUUAUAUAUGAUUUGCAUUUGGUGUGAAUGGUCACAACGUUCCUGCUUUUGAAAGGAAAUGUGAUAGUUCAUUCGUUGUUACGAUUGUAUGCAAGCUAAAGACUGACUAGAAUGACGGGCGUACACAAUUUGCUGAUGUUUUUUUUUACGAUGCUUUUAUUUUUAGCUCUGCAUAUUUGCAAACAUAAAUAAAUAGAAACAAGUCCUUCGAAAAUUUAACUCCAUAUUAUGAGUAAUGCGUUACUCCUUGUUUAUUGUUUAAUUUGUGUGAAUGUAUUACAAAUAGAAGGUCGUCUCAUGGGACUAGAAUUAAUAGAAUUAAUUAUCCUAAUAAUUCAGUACAUGUUGAGAGUAAAUUUUAAUUAAAACUUGGAUUUAUGAUGUACAAUUUAUAAUUAAAAUUCUGGUUCGUACGAAAAAAAAGUUGUAGAACUUAGUUGUAGAAAUAAAGAAAAAGAAAACAGAAGAAAAA